GACGAACGCUGGCGGCGUGCCUAAUACAUGCAAGUAGAACGCUGAAGAGAGGAGCUUGCUCUUCUUGGAUGAGUUGCGAACGGGUGAGUAACGCGUAGGUAACCUGCCUGGUAGCGGGGGAUAACUAUUGGAAACGAUAGCUAAUACCGCAUAAAAUUGAUUAUUGCAUGAUAAUUAAUUGAAAGAUGCAAUUGCAUCACUACCAGAUGGACCUGCGUUGUAUUAGCUAGUUGGUGAGGUAACGGCUCACCAAGGCGACGAUACAUAGCCGACCUGAGAGGGUGAUCGGCCACACUGGGACUGAGACACGGCCCAGACUCCUACGGGAGGCAGCAGUAGGGAAUCUUCGGCAAUGGGGGGAACCCUGACCGAGCAACGCCGCGUGAGUGAAGAAGGUUUUCGGAUCGUAAAGCUCUGUUGUAAGAGAAGAACGGGUGUGAGAGUGGAAAGUUCACACUGUGACGGUAUCUUACCAGAAAGGGACGGCUAACUACGUGCCAGCAGCCGCGGUAAUACGUAGGUCCCGAGCGUUGUCCGGAUUUAUUGGGCGUAAAGCGAGCGCAGGCGGUUAGAUAAGUCUGAAGUUAAAGGCUGUGGCUUAACCAUAGUAUGCUUUGGAAACUGUUUAACUUGAGUGCAGAAGGGGAGAGUGGAAUUCCAUGUGUAGCGGUGAAAUGCGUAGAUAUAUGGAGGAACACCGGUGGCGAAAGCGGCUCUCUGGUCUGUAACUGACGCUGAGGCUCGAAAGCGUGGGGAGCAAACAGGAUUAGAUACCCUGGUAGUCCACGCCGUAAACGAUGAGUGCUAGGUGUUAGGCCCUUUCCGGGGCUUAGUGCCGCAGCUAACGCAUUAAGCACUCCGCCUGGGGAGUACGACCGCAAGGUUGAAACUCAAAGGAAUUGACGGGGGCCCGCACAAGCGGUGGAGCAUGUGGUUUAUUUCGAAGCAACGCGAAGAACCUUACCAGGUCUUGACAUCCCUCUGACCGCUCUAGAGAUAGAGUUUUCCUUCGGGACAGAGGUGACAGGUGGUGCAUGGUUGUCGUCAGCUCGUGUCGUGAGAUGUUGGGUUAAGUCCCGCAACGAGCGCAACCCCUAUUGUUAGUUGCCAUCAUUCAGUUGGGCACUCUAGCGAGACUGCCGGUAAUAAACCGGAGGAAGGUGGGGAUGACGUCAAAUCAUCAUGCCCCUUAUGACCUGGGCUACACACGUGCUACAAUGGCUGGUACAACGAGUCGCAAGCCGGUGACGGCAAGCUAAUCUCUGAAAGCCAGUCUCAGUUCGGAUUGUAGGCUGCAACUCGCCUACAUGAAGUCGGAAUCGCUAGUAAUCGCGGAUCAGCACGCCGCGGUGAAUACGUUCCCGGGCCU
rnacentral:rRNA from 1 species